UACCUGCAGGCUACAGAUCUUUGCCCAGUCUACCCAACUGCCAGCCAUACAAAACAAGUAAAAUAUGUAACCACAUUUACAGUCUUGUGGUCUUUUCAAAAAAACCUUGGAUUUUCUACCUGUUUUGGUCACAUGUGCCAGUCUACCAAUGACAUUGUGCAAACCUCAGUGGCUGGAUCCAAAUGAUACAUCUUUUCCUUUUUGGUGUGAUAAUCUGUUGCUUCAUUGGCACACAUUCACAUGGGCAGAGAUGCAGCACAAUAUGUGUUUUGCACCCUUCCCAAAUGCUAGAUAAACACAUUUCUUUCUCUCUCUCUCACACACACACACAUACACACAGAGAACAUUUGUUGGUGCAGAAAGAUGUUUGCUCAGCACAUUUCAAUACGAACAUCAUAAUACUCUAUCUAGUUGCCAUCCAUUUCCUUGUCAAAAAUCAACAUGAGCCAGCGUUUUUUAUUCCCAAAUCGCUGUGAGGCAAAAAUCACAUUAAUUUUCUCACUAAAACCCAAAUGUCAUUAUGUAAAAAAAGAAAGAGGCGGGUUACAGCAUCUAUUUUUGAUGGCCAUGGAUAAAGAUAUCCACAUGCAGAGUCAAUAUUUGACCUUCACCACCUUGCAUAGAGGUCAAAUUGUAGGCCAGCCCUCUACCUUUCACCCCCACUUUGCUGUAAGCUCUCAUACCUACUUACACAUCUCACACAGUGCAGGCAGUGAUAAUGAAACAUUAAAUUAACAUCGUUUUACACAGAUUAAAGAUAAGAGAGGUUCCCUGGUCCCAUUGUGCCAAUAUAGUGAAAGUGAAACACUAAGAUCCAUUUAGGGAAUUUCCUGCUACAGCGCGUGUCCUCAGAUGUGACCCUACUAUAAACACAGAAAGCAACAAGUGUCAGAGUGUAGGUUUCCCUGUGUAGUCAUGUCUUAGUAUCUUUGGCACCAGGCCAGCUUUGCCAUCUGUCUCUUCUCCCCCUUUCCCUGUCUCUCCUCCUCCUUUUCCAAGCCAAUCUGCUCUACAUUUGCUAUCAUUACGUGCUUGCCAUCCUUAUGGCAUAUCAGAGGCAGACACCAGGCACCCUUUACCCCUCUCUCUCUUCUCCUCCUCACGCCCCUUUUCCCUAUUUCCACAACUACUUCACCACAGAGUUCUCUAAAGGGUCCAGGUGGCAUCUUGCCCUGCUCUCCUCUCUGAACCAUUAUGGAAAACAAAGAAGCGCAGGGAAAAGAACAAAAAACAAAGGCAAAAAAGCCCCCAAAGUGAGAAUAUAUUCCUCUCCACAUCCUGCUUAGAAUUGCUGUGCUUCCUGUGCCCACAGGCUUGGUGUUGGUUUGUUGUUGAUUUCCAUGCUUCGCCUACUUCUGGAUGGCUAUUGCUGUUUGAGCAAAAAGGCUGAGAAGUAAACCCUCUUCAAACCUUGGAACUGCCCUGGCUUUGGUGCUGUUCACAGGAACCUGGUACGUCUCCUGUGCCCACACACUCACAUACACACAUGCACGUGGAUGCUGCGGAGUGUUUUUCUCAGAGCUCCCUGCCACCUCGUCUGCCUGCUGCCUCGAAAGAACUGGGAAUACCAUGGGAUCUACCAGAGACUCACUCGCACACAUGCACAUACGCCAGAUUUAAUACGCAGGAGCACUCACCAAUCGUUUAAGGCUGCAGGAAAGUGAAUAAUCAAUUAAGUAUUGAUUUCUUGUAAGUUUUUUUAAUUCCAAAGGCAAAGACAAAGAGCGUAGUUUGAGGAGCGCCGCUGUGAGCGAGAGGAGCCGCGAAUUAGCCAAUAAACACAGACGGGGGAAUAAACGAAGGUGAACAAACGAACUGCUCAUCAGUGCAAUAUGCUUCUGUGUUUUUCUUGUUUCUACAAGCCCUUCCAGAUAAAUUAAUGCUGAAUGCAAAAAUGUUUUCCUAUGGAGACGAAGAGAUGGCGAAUGGGUGAGCAAGGGUUAAAAGCAAAAGCUGCAGGAGGAGACAGAAUGACUGGAGGACUCGAUCAGAAGACAAGAGCUGCAGAGAAGAAUUAAGAGCUAUUAUUCUUCCAAAGGAGAGGCUGAUAUAUGCAAAUGAAAAGAAAAGGGGAGGAGGAGCAGAGCAAAGAACACUGUAACGUCAAAGAUAUACAAUGGACUCCACUACAAAGGAGAGCCAAAAUACAUUCAUACAAAUACUUAUUCUUCCUCACACCGUGGGAGAGACUUCAACAUUUGCGCUAGAAAUAGCGAAAAAGAAAACGACAAUCAGACAUGCACCUUCAUUCCCUAUUAUGCCUAUCUCUGUAUAUUGAUAGGCUGCCUCGUGGAUGAUAAUUACCUUUUGGGAUAUUGAAUCGCAAAAUGAGCUUCCGAACGAAGGAACAAGAAGAAAUGGCAAGAAAAAAAAGAAUGGAGGUAUGCAAAGGCGCUAAUAAGAUUCAGAGUGCUGACUGUAUGUCAUCUACAUGGUGACGACGGCCAAUUUUAAUGAACCAUUGGCUCCCCACUACAGAUAAGUAAUGGAGAGAAGGAUAUGGGUGUCGAGGAGGGUGAAGCGAAAAGAACUUCCUUGUGCCUUUCUUCUUAAUUUCCAGCUGAUAUUUGCAGAUUCUGCACCAUGUGGAUUUACAGUAAUAAUACAUGUUGAAAAAAAAAA